CAAACAGCCCCAAAACCUCACGCCAACUUUCUACUCAAAUUUCUAGGGUUUAUCUCGAUCUUCACCGGCGACGGAGAAGGCAUCCUCGAUUCUAUACUCCGGCCUCCGAUUCGAUAAGAAGAGAUUCGCCAACGACAUCGCUCGAUUCAAGAGAAGGAGCAGAAAUUAGAGGAAUUUGAGGCGAUUGAGUCACCGUCUGUGACGAUAACCAAAAAGGAGAAAGAAGCGGAAGCGGAAAGAGAAGGGCGCCGCUGAGAUUGUGGAGGCGUUCAGUGUGUUUA